rnacentral:lncRNA from 1 species
AAAGAGCAUCCGCGUGGCAACCUACAAGAUGAAAUCAUCAACAUGUCAAAUUUAACACUCUAAAUCAUGAAGAUCUUCAAGAAUGGUCUCUAAUUAUAAAUUUGAUCUUCAAAUGGGUCAAAUGAUCUCUACUCACAUGUUUUGAGCAACAAUGUUAGUGAUGCAGAGGCGAAAAGAGCAACCUCUAGCAAAUUACAACACUUGAAAAGCAUAGAGAUUUCUAUUGAUAAAUAGAUAGGAGUAGAGAAAGAAGCACCUCUGGGCGGUACACUCAUUGCUUGUCUACUUCACAUACAUGCAUGCAAGUGCCACUGUACAUGCAUGCAUGCAUGCAUUUCCUUUCACAGAUUAUUUGAUGAUGCUGCUGCUAUUAGGUGAUGGUGGAACAGAGAGGAGUUGCAUUGAAUGUAUUGACAAAUAUUAAUUAGGGGCAAUUUAGACAAUUCUAGUACCAUGUUGAUCAUUGUGCCUUCUAUAUUCGUGUUCAGAGCGAGUACAUUGUAGCUUAAUACCUUUCAACUCAAAUAUUUAAGUUAACAUAUCGUGGAGAGAUGUAUCUAUUUACUUUGCUAAUUCUUUCACUAAUGGAAUCAAUCAAUCAUGUUCCACUACAGGGCUCCCACGUAUCAAAGAGGAAAUAGAAAAGACUAAAGUC